AGAGUUUGAUCCUGGCUCAGGAUGAACGCUGGCGGCGUGCCUAAUACAUGCAAGUCGAGCGAACGGACGAGAAGCUUGCUUCUCUGAUGUUAGCGGCGGACGGGUGAGUCACACGUGGAUCACCUACCUAUAAGACUGGGAUAACUUCGGGAAACCGGAGCUAAUACCGGAUAAUAUUUUGAACCGCAUGGUUCAAAAGUGAAAGACGGUCUUGCUGUCACUUAUAGAUGGAUCCGCGCUGCAUUAGCUAGUUGGUAAGGUAACGGCUUACCAAGGCAACGAUGCAUAGCCGACCUGAGAGGGUGAUCGGCCACACUGGAACUGAGACACGGUCCAGACUCCUACGGGAGGCAGCAGUAGGGAAUCUUCCGCAAUGGGCGAAAGCCUGACGGAGCAACGCCGCGUGAGUGAUGAAGGUCUUCGGAUCGUAAAACUCUGUUAUUAGGGAAGAACAUAUGUGUAAGUAACUGUGCACAUCUUGACGGUACCUAAUCAGAAAGCCACGGCUAA
rnacentral:rRNA from 1 species